AGUGAACGCUGGCGGCGUGCCUAAUACAUGCAAGUCGAACGGAGAUUAAGUAGCUUGCUAUUUAAUCUUAGUGGCGCACGGGUGAGUAAUAUAUAGCUAACUUGCCCAUUACUAAGGGACAACAGUUGGAAACGACUGCUAAUACCUUAUUCUCCGUAUCUAUACAAGUAGGUACGGGAAAGUUUUUCGGUAAUGGAUAGGGCUAUAUCGUAUCAGCUAGUUGGUAAGGUAACGGCUUACCAAGGCUAUGACGCGUAACUGGUCUGAGAGGAUGAUCAGUCACACUGGAACUGAGACACGGUCCAGACUCCUACGGGAGGCAGCAGUAGGGAAUAUUGCUCAAUGGGGGAAACCCUGAAGCAGCAACGCCGCGUGGAGGAUGACACUUUCUCGGAGCGUAAACUCCUUUUCUUGGAAAGAAUUAU
rnacentral:rRNA from 1 species